rnacentral:tRNA from 1 species
GUUGAGAUAGCUCAGUAGGUAAAGGACUGAAGAUCCUUAGGUCACCAGUUCGAUUCUGGUAUUUUGCU